CGGGACGGGUGAGUAAUGUCUGGGAAACUGCCUGAUGGAGGGGGAUAACUAUGGAAACGGUAGCUAAUACCGCAUAACGUCGCAAGACCAAAGAGGGGGACCUUCGGGCCUCUUGCCAUCGGAUGUGCCCAGAUGGGAUUAGCUAGUAGGUGGGGUAACGGCUCACCUAGGCGACGAUCCCUAGCUGGUCUGAGAGGAUGCCAGCCACACUGGAACUGAGACACGGUCCAG
rnacentral:rRNA from 1 species